rnacentral:rRNA from 1 species
UACAGGGGGGGCAAGCGUUGUUCGGAAUUACUGGGCGUAAAGGGUUUGUAGGUGGCUUGCUAAGUCAGACGUGAAAUCCCUCAGCUUAACUGGGGAACUGCGUCUGAUACUGGCGAGCUUGAGUGCAGGAGAGGAACGCGGAAUUCCAGGUGUAGCGGUGAAAUGCGUAGAUAUCUGGAGGAACACCGGUGGCGAAGGCGGCAUCCUGGACCAACACUGACACUGAGGAGCGAAAGCCAGGGGAGCAAACGGG